rnacentral:rRNA from 1 species
GAUGAACGCUGGCGGCGUGCCUAAUACAUGCAAGUCGAGCGAACGGACGAGAAGCUUGCUUCUCUGAUGUUAGCGGCGGACGGGUGAGUAACACGUGGAUAACCUACCUAUAAGACUGGGAUAACUUCGGGAAACCGGAGCUAAUACCGGAUGAUAUUUUGAACCGCAUGGUUCAAAAGUGAAAGACGGUCUUGCUGUCACUUAUAGAUGGAUCCGCGCUGCAUUAGCUAGUUGGUAAGGUAACGGCUUACCAAGGCAACGAUGCAUAGCCGACCUGAGAGCGUGAUCGGCCACACUGGAUCUGAGACACGGUCCAGACUCCUACGGGAGGCCGCAGUAGGGAAUCUUCCGCAAUGGGCGAAAGCCUGACGGAGCAACGCCGCGUGAGUGAUGAAGGUCUUCGGAUCGUAAAGCUCUGUUAUUAGGGAAGAACAUAUGUGUAAGUAACUGUGCACAUCUUGACGGUACCUAGUCAGAAAGCCACGGCUAACUACGUG